UCCAAACAUUGCCUAAUCAUUCAAAGCCAGUUUUGAGGUUAUAAAAACUGUGUUUAAAACUGUAAACCCAAACCUGAAAAUGAUUAUAUGAAAAUCCAAAAUCACUUUCGUUAAAACCAGUACUAUUGAGGAAAUACCCACUCAAAUUUCUUUAAAACCACUCUCAAAUGUGUCUUAGAAAGAGAAAAAAAAAAAAAGAGACAAGACUUCUCAUUUAUCUGCUAGUCCCAACUCUCAUUUGUAAAAUAACUUCUAGCUAGCACUAGAAAGGGAGCGCAGAAGAAUUGAAUUGUGAAUUGUGAAUCAGGAAAAUGAUACUUACUCCUGAAGACAAGAUUCACAAACCAAAGCUUGUUUUUGAGAAGGCAGAGACGAGAUGGUUGAGAUGUUCAGGCAAAGAAUAGCUCAAGCAAUGGCUCUUGCAGGCGGCCUUCUCGGAUUUCAUCCGAAGUUACUUAUUAGUUAUUUGUUUGUCAUGGAGGUUUGAAACUUUCGAGUGUGAUUAGUUUAGUUCCAUCUCAAUAUAUGAGUGGAUAAUGCUGGAGAUUGUAGAUAUCACAGCGGAAAGGUAUUAUACUUGCUUCUCUAAAAUUUUCCAUCAUUCACAUUUUAUUUAGGAAAAAAUUGGUUCAA